CCGCUCUUAGCUCAGUGGUAGAGCGUCUGACUGUAGAAACUUUUCAAUGGUCAUCAGAAUGUCGCCGGUUCGAUUCCAGCAGCGCGGA